rfam:Myotis lucifugus cont2.3647, whole genome shotgun sequence.
CAUGCACCGGUGGGGUCCCUCGGCCUGGCCUGCGCCCUCUCACAAUCCGGGACUCCCUCAGGGGAGUCGGAGAGCCGGUUUCGGCCUGAUUCCUGCAGGCCAGGCCGAGGGACCCCACCAGUGCAUG